UACGUAGGGGGCAAGCGUUGUCCGGAAUUAUUGGGCGUAAAGCGCGUGUAGGCGGCUCGGUAAGUCUGCUGUGAAAGCCCUGGGCUCAACCCAGGAAGUGCAUUCGAAACUGGCGAGCUUGAAUAUGGAAGAGGGUCGCGGAAUUCCCGGUGUAGAGGUGAAAUUCGUAGAUAUCGGGAGGAACACCAGUGGCGAAGGCGGCGACCUGGGCCAAUAUUGACGCUGAGGUGCGAAAGCGUGGGGAGCAAACAGG
rnacentral:rRNA from 1 species